rnacentral:rRNA from 1 species
CCAAUAGCGUAUAUUAAAGUUGUUGCAGUUAAAAAGCUCGUAGUUGAAUUUCGGGGUUAGUAGGUUGGUCAUGCCUCUGGUAUGUACUGGUCUCACUGAUUCCUCCUUCCUGAUGAGCCGUAAUGCCAUUAAUUUGGUGUUGCGGGGAAUUUGGACUGUUACUUUGACAAAAUUAGAGUGUUUAAAGCAAGCUAACGCUUGAAUACAUUAGCAUGGAAUAAUGAAAUAGGACGUUCGAUCCUAUUUUGUUGGUUUCUAGGAUUGACGUAAUGAUUAAUAGGGAUAGUUGGGGGCAUUAGUAUUCAAUUGUCAGAGGUGAAAUUCUUGGAUUUAUUGAAGACUAACUACUGCGAAAGCAUUUGCCAAGGAUGUUUUCGUUAAUCAAGAACGAAAGUUAGGGGAUCGAAGACGAUCAGAUACCGUCGUAGUCUUAACCAUAAACUAUGCCGACUAGGGAUCGGAUGAUGUUAAUUUUUUAAUGACUCAUUCGGCGCCUUACG